CCUUCCACUUGUAAUCUCUCAUCCCCUUGAGAUGUGUUCUUGGUCGAAGGAGGGUGUGGCAGCGGCAAGUGUGGGUCUGGAAAUGUGUUCUUGGUGGGGACAGGGCUUGGGGACCCUGAGUUCCUGACAUCGAAGGCUUAUAGAGUUAUUCAGAAUGCUGAUCUAUUGUUGUAUGAUAGGUUGGUGUCCAAUGAUGCGUUGGAAUUGGUUGACUCUGGUGCUAGACUUCUCUAUGUGGGCAAGACUGCUGGGUACCACAGCAGAAUCCAGGAGGUGCUACAUGAAUUUCUACUGAGUUUUGCUGAAGCUGGAGCUAAUGUUGUGAGACUAAAAGGAAGGGAUCCACUGUGUAUAGCUUCCCAGCCAUAAAUAAGGAUGUUCUUCCCCAAUGUUGAACCAAAAAGAUCCAUUCUUUUUGGUUGUCGUUGAGGAUCGUUUGCAAUUUGGUUCAACUCUUUUUCAUCUUGGGACAACAUUACUUUCAGUUGUAGAAAAAUUACAUUGUAGUUAUGAGAAGAAAAAAAACAUGUAAUUAUGACUAUUGAAAACAAUGUAAUUAUUUUGACGUAAUGGAAUGAAAUUUGAGUUCAAUUUA